UCCUUUUGGAGUGCUUUUGCCUGAAUACUUGUAACUGUUUGACUUUCGAGAUGGAUGUUUGCAAAUGUUUGCGCCGCUGGUCAUGAGACCGCUGGUAUUUGUAUACUUACUGAUCGUAUUUUUUUCUCUUCCCCUUUGAGCUGCUUCAGCCUGUCUGUGUCCCAUAAAUGGGGUAUGGGUGUAACUCUGUCCACUGAGUGCUUUUCAGAAGUUCAGUAUUGCUUUGAAGAGACUGUCUGAACUGAAGGCGCUGGCGGGUCUGUAUUCCACACUGAAGAGCCAAAGGGUCCUGUCUGGGUUACAGCAACAGCAGAAUCCUGCUUUGGAACUGAACUACUUCUGUAGCCACUAAACCACAUUGCCCAUGUUGCUGCUGGUCUGAAUCUCAGCAUUGUUGGAACGUGCGUGCUGUUGUACUCCUUCAAAGCCUUCGAGCUACAUCCAUGGUAUCUCAGGAGAGAAGGUAGCUAUAGACCCGGCCACUAAUCAGAAGGCCAGCACCAAAUUCUGGAUCCGACAGAAACCCAUUUCAAUCGAUCCUGACCUUCUCCGAGCCGGCGACCUUGUGGAGGAGAGGAGCCCGAGUCGGCCCUCGCCCCCACGGGUGUCACGCGAGAGGCUAAGUACCCCGAUGAUUGAUUCCGCGGCGUUUCCCAGCACCGGUCGCGAACGGGGGAGUUGGAACUUUAUUAAAAAGGGAUCGGGGGUCCGGGAUGCUUCCCCACCUGGAGGAGAUUCGC